UAGCCUAGUGGUUAAGGCUAUGGAUUGCCAAUCCGGAGACAGCGGGUUCGAUUCCCGU
rfam:Aedes albopictus isolate Foshan contig11497, whole genome shotgun sequence.